GAGGGUAUAGCUCAAGCGGUAGAGCGUAUGCUUAGCGUGUGUGAGGUCCUAGGUUCAAUCCCCAGUACCUCCA
rnacentral:tRNA from 1 species